rnacentral:rRNA from 1 species
GUAGGUGGCAAGCGUUGUCCGGAAUUAUUGGGCGUAAAGCGCGCGCAGGCGGUUCUUUAAGUCUGAUGUGAAAGCCCACGGCUCAACCGUGGAGGGUCAUUUGGAAACUGGAGAACUUGAGUACAGAAGAGGAAAGCGGAAUUCCACGUGUAGCCGGUGAAAUGCGUAGAGAUGUGGAGGAACACCAGUGGCGAAGGCGGCUUUCUGGUCUGUAACUGACGCUGAGGCGCGAAAGCGUGGGGAGCAAACAGGGAUUAGAUACCCUGGUAGUCCACGCCGUAAACGAUGACGUGCUAAGUGUUAGGGGGUAUCCGCCCCUUAGUGCUGCAGCUAACGCAUUAAGCACUCCGCCCUGGGAGUACGGCCGCAAGGCUGA